UUGAGUCAAACUUUGAUUUUCUAUAACUAACAACAAAACAACUAGUAAGGCAUGCGAUGCAUUGCCUCCAUCUUCAUGAUGCAAAUGUUGGUUUUAUGUUGUUAUUAACAAAGACAUAUGAAUUGAAUGAGCUAAUUUUCAGAAAAUGGGAUGUGAAAAAUGACUUCCUAUUUAUAUUUUAGUCAACUUUGUUAUUAGAACAUGGGAAUUAUGAUGUUAUCUGCAAUCAAUUCAAAAGGCCAAUUUUUAGUGUUAAUCAAAAUUUAAUUUAUGGAUUUUGUAUACAUCCUAAAAAAACAUAUAUAGGUUUGUUAGAAUAUUCUUGAAUUUUGAGAACUUUGUAUCUAUCCUAAAAAAUCAUCCAUGGGAUUUGAUGAAAUGACAUGUUUCCAUUUUGAACCAACACUUCUGUGAUGUUCCAAUUUCAAAUAAUCUCAUUUUAGCUUAUGAAGGUAAAUGAUCUAAAAUUCACAAUGAGAUGGUACCCCAACUGUGGGUUCCUAGGAGCAUUGCUUUUAACUGAGCUAUGUACAAUUGAGCCACAAAAAGUUACAUAUAGGUUUAGAUAACAUGUCCUUAAACAUGGGUUUUCCAUGCUAUUUUGUAUAUCACUAAUUCUAAAAGCCAGAGUGCUUGAUGCAACCUACAGUAUGCAAAAGUCACUUGAGUUGAGUUGACAUUUCCAAUUAUAACACUUUGGUCAGUCAUAUUGAUUUGUUGCAUGUGAAGUAGAGGUAGUUUGAGCAGGAGCCAAAUAAUCUAAGAUGAAGUUGCAACAACAGUCCACUUGGAUGAUUGAAUCAUAUUAUUUUGCAUGUGAAGUCAAAGAAUAAUUUUGUCUAGUUUAGGGUCACAAAGAUCAAGUGCAGCCAAAAAUUUGCAGGUGG